rnacentral:lncRNA from 1 species
CUGGCCGCUAAGGCCUCCCUCUCUUCCUUCGCUCCGUUUCCGGAAGUGACAUUCUGGCUUUUUUCCUUCCUAGGAGGUGGUCAGUCUUAUCUAGAGAAUUUGAUCUACUUUGUGGAUGUUUUUCAAGGGAAUGGUCCAGCAAGAUCACCGAGUCCAGUGCAUGACAAUCAACACACCUAUCUGCAGACUUCAGUUUCCAUCUACCCAGUUGUGCCCAAGAUGACUUCCAAACUGAAAUUAAUGAAAAAAGAAAGAACAAAACCCAAACCCAAACAAUAGGAACAAUUAACAAAACUGAGAAUAACAAGCAACAGUAAGUAAACCCAGGGGGAAAAAAGUGUAAUUGAAGACUUCAUGGUAAAAAUCACCUCUAAGGAUGUCACUAAUAUUGGUUAGUAUAGGCAUAUUAAUACAGUAACUUGUGUGCGUGCGUGUGCUCAGUCGAGUCCAACUCUUUGCGACCCUUAACGAAGGGGUUAAUAGAUGAUUUUGCCCUCCUGUGGGGUUAAUAUCUCAUCUCCUGCGCUAGGCUCCACUGACAAAACUUCCAUCUGUCCUGUAGGUAGAUCAUGAUCUUUCUCAUCUCUGGGUCUUAGCACAGGUUGCCUCGAACAUCUCUCCCACCUCUCUUGUAUCUGGCUGGCUCCUAUGUAAUUUUCAGGUUUCACGUUGCUCUAUAAAACCAUCUAUGACUUUCUAAACCCACAUUAGAUGUCUUUCC